CCUACGGGCGGCAGCAGUGAGGAAUAUUGGUCAAUGGGCGGGAGCCUGAACCAGCCAAGUCGCGUGAAGGAAGAAGGUACUUAGUAUUGUAAACUUCUUUUAUAAAGGAAUAAAGUGAGGCACGUGUGCCUUUUUGUAUGUAUUUUAUGAAUAAGGAUCGGCUAACUCCGUGCCAGCAGCCGCGGUAAUACGGAGGAUCCGAGCGUUAUCCGGAUUUAUUGGGUUUAAAGGGAGCGUAGAUGGGUUGUUAAGUCAGUUGUGAAAGUUUGCGGCUCAACCGUAAAAUUGCAAUUGAUACUGGCAGUCUUGAGUACAGUUGAGGUAGGCGGAAUUCGUGGUGUAGCGGUGAAAUGCUUAGAUAUCACGAAGAACUCCGAUUGCGAAGGCAGCUUACUAAACUGCCACUGACAUUGAUGCUCGAAAGUGUGGGUAUCAAACAGGAUUAGAUACCCUUGUAGUC
rnacentral:rRNA from 1 species